GGCCCGGUAGUUCAGUAGGUUUAGAAUGCCAGCCUGUCACGCUGGAGGUCGACGGUUCGAGCCCGUUCCGGGUCGCCA
rnacentral:tRNA from 1 species